UCCUACGGGAGGCAGCAGUAGGGAAUAUUGGACAAUGGGCGAAAGCCUGAUCCAGCCAUGCCGCGUGUGUGAAGAAGGUCUUCGGAUUGUAAAGCACUUUAAGUUGGGAGGAAGGGUUGUAGAUUAAUACUCUGCAAUUUUGACGUUACCGACAGAAUAAGCACCGGCUAACUUCGUGCCAGCAGCCGCGGUA
rnacentral:rRNA from 1 species